rnacentral:rRNA from 1 species
GACGAACGCUGGCGGCGUGCUUAACACAUGCAAGCCGAGCGGUAUUGUUUCUUCGGAAAUGAGAGAGCGGCGUACGGGUGCGGAACACGUGUGCAACCUGCCUUUAUCUGGGGGAUAGCCUUUCGAAAGGAAGAUUAAUACUCCAUAACAUAUUGAUUGGCAUCAAUUAAUAUUGAAAGCUCCGGCGGAUAGAGAUGGGCACGCGCAAGAUUAGCUAGUUGGUGAGGUAACGGCUCACCAAGGCGAUGAUCUUUAGGGGGCCUGAGAGGGUGAUCCCCCACACUGGUACUGAGACACGGACCAGACUCCUACGGGAGGCAGCAGUGAGGAAUAUUGGUCAAUGGGUGCAAGCCUGAACCAGCCAUCCCACGUGAAGGACGACUGCCCUAUGGGUUGUAAACUUCUUUUGUAUAGGGAUAAACCUACCCUCGUGAGGGUAGCUGAAGGUACUAUACGAAUAAGCACCGGCUAACUCCGUGCCAGCAGCCGCGGUAAUACGGAGGGUGCAAGCGUUAUCCGGAUUUAUUGGGUUUAAAGGGUCCGUAGGCGGACUUAUAAGUCAGUGGUGAAAGCCUGUCGCUUAACGAUAGAACUGCCAUUGAUACUGUAAGUCUUGAGUAUAUUUGUAGGUAGCUGGAAUAAGUAGUGUAGCGGUGAAAUGCAUAAAUAUUACUUAGAACACCAAUUGCGAAGGCAGGUUACCAAGAUAUAACUGACGCUGAGGGACGAAAGCGUGGGGAGCGAGCAGGAUUAGAUACCCUGGUAGUCCACGCCGUAAACGAUGCUAACUCGUUUUUGGGCUUUAGGGUUCAGAGACCAAGCGAAAGUGAUAAGUUAGCCACCUGGGGAGUACGCUCGCAAGAGUGAAACUCAAAGGAAUUGACGGGGGCCCGCACAAGCGGUGGAUUAUGUGGUUUAAUUCGAUGAUACGCGAGGAACCUUACCAAGACUUAAAUGGGAAUUGACAGCUUUAGAAAUAGAGCUUUCUUCGGACAAUUUUCAAGGUGCUGCAUGGUUGUCGUCAGCUCGUGCCGUGAGGUGUUAGGUUAAGUCCUGCAACGAGCGCAACCCCUGUCACUAGUUGCCAUCAUUCAGUUGGGGACUCUAGUGAGACUGCCUACGCAAGUAGAGAGGAAGGUGGGGAUGACGUCAAAUCAUCACGGCCCUUACGUCUUGGGCCACACACGUAAUACAAUGGCCGGUACAGAGGGCAGCUACACAGCGAUGUGAUGCAAAUCUCGAAAGCCGGUCUCAGCUCGGAUUGGAGUCUGCAACUCGACUCUAUGAAGCUGGAAUCGCUAGUAAUCGCGCAUCAGCCAUGGCGCGGUGAAUACGUUCCCGGGCCU